AUUGAACGCUGGCGGCAGGCCUAACACCUGCAAGUCGAACGAGUGGCGGACGGGUGCGUAAUGUAUGGGGACUGCCCGAUAGAGGGGGAUAACUACUGGAAACGGUAGCUAAUACCGCAUACUAUCGGAUAACCCAUAUGGGAUUAGCUAGUUGGUGCGGUAAUGGCUCACCAAGGCGACGAUCUCUAGCUGGUCUGAGAGGAUGACCAGCCACACUGGGACGGAGACACGGCCCAGACUCCUACGGAGGCAGCAGUGGGGAAGAUUGCGCAAUGGGGGCAACCCUGACGCAGCCAUGCCGCGUGAAUGAAGAAGGCCUUCGGGUUGUAAAGUUCUUUCGGUAGCGAGGCGUUAACUACAGAAGAAGCACCGGCUAACGCCGUGCCAGCCGCCGCGGUAAUAC
rnacentral:rRNA from 1 species